UAAAACGUAGGUACCGAGCGUUAUCCGGAUUUACUGGGCGUAAAGCGUGUUCAGGCGGUCUAGCAAGUCGGGCAUGAAAUCUCUCGGCUCAACCGGGAGGGGUUGUCCGAUACUGCUGGGCUUGAGGGCAGCAGAGGGUGGUGGAAUUCCGGGUGUAGUGGUGAAAUGCGUAGAUAUCCGGAGGAACACCAGUGGCGAAGGCGGCCACCUGGGCUGCACCUGACGCUCAAACACGAAAGCUAGGGGAGCGAACGGGAUUAGAAACCCCGGUAGUCCUAGCCGUAAACGAUGUUGACUAGGUGUCGAUGGUCUAAACCCCACCGGUGCCGAAGCUAACGCAUGAAGUCAACCGCCUGGGGACUACGGCCGCAAGGUU
rnacentral:rRNA from 1 species